rnacentral:rRNA from 1 species
UACGUAGGGUGCGAGCGUUGUCCGGAAUUAUUGGGCGUAAAGGGCUCGUAGGCGGUCCAUCGCGUCGGGAGUGAAAAGCUGGGGCUUAACCCCAGUCCUGCUUUCGAUACGGGUGGACUAGAGGUAGGCAGGGGAGAAUGGAAUUCCUGGUGUAGCGGUGAAAUGCGCAGAUAUCAGGAGGAACACCGAUAGCGAAGGCAGCUUACUGGGCUGUAACUGACGCUGAGGCACGAAAGUGUGGGGAUCAAACAGG